rnacentral:lncRNA from 1 species
GGUAGCAUUCUCGAGCUUCUUCGGCCAAUCAGCAUUAUGGUUUUAAACCCUAAACUGAAUUUUCCUUUCAGCCAGCAUUAGAGUUUUAAACUCUAAACUGAGCUUUUCCAUGCAAUCAGCAUUAGGGUUUUAAACCCUAAACUGAAUUUUCCUUUCAGCCAACAUUAGAGUUUUAAACUCUAAACUGAGCUUUUUCCAUGCAAUCAGCAUUAGGGUUUUAAACCUUAAACUGAAUUUUCCUUUUAGUCAGCAUUAGGGUUUUAAACCCUAAACUGAAUUUUCCUUUUAGUCAGCGUUAGGGUUUUAAACCCUAAACUGAAUUUUCCUUUUAGUCAGCGUUAGGGUUUUAAACCCUAAACUGAAUUUUCCUUUCAGCCAGCAUUAGAGUUUUAAACUUUAAACUGAGCUUUUCCAUGCAAUCAGCAUUAGGGUUUUAAACCCUAAACUGAAUUUUCCUUUCAGCCAACAUUGGAGUUUUAAACUCUAAACUGAGCUUUUCCAUGCAAUCAGCAUUAGGGUUUUAAACCCUAAACUGAAUUUUCCUUUCAGCCAGCAUUAGAGUUUUAAACUCUAAACUGAGCUUUUCCAUGCAAUCAGCAUUAGGGUUUUAAACCCUAAACUGAAUUUUUCUUUCAGCCAACAUU